rnacentral:rRNA from 1 species
AUCUGCGGCCAAAGCAUAAGGAUAAACAGGGUAUCCCGUCCGCUCUGCCUUACUUAAGCCUUAUAGCGAUCAGUUAGUAGUACAGUGGGUGACCAUGUGCGAAUCUUGAUUGCCGCAGAUU